rnacentral:lncRNA from 1 species
UGGGGUUAGUGCCCUGAUAAGAAGAGGCCUGAGCCCUUGCUAGCUCUCUGCUCUCUGCCGUUGAGGAUACCACAGGGAGUCGACAGUCUGCAGCCCAGAAGAGGGCUCUCACCAGAACUGGGCCACGCUGGCACCGUGAGCUCGGACCCCCAGCCUCCAGAACUCUGAGGAAUAAGUUUCUGUUGUUUAUAAGCCAUCUAGUUUAUGAUAUUUUGUUGCAGCAGCCCAAAUAGUCUAAGACUUUACCACAAGUGUAAGGAAAUAAAGAGAAGCAGAAACAGAGAGAGAGCGAGCAAGGAAGAAAGAAAAGAAGGAAGAAAGGAAGAAAGAAAGAAGGAAAGAAAAAAAGAAAGAAAAAGAUAAAAAGACAAAGAAAGAAUCAUAGUGGUAACUCCCGGGAAAACCGCUGUUACCAUUUUGGUGGCGCUCCUUCCAGACUUUUCUCUGUGCAUGACUAUCAAAAUACCUAGAUGUACCUGUGUGUUAAAGACUAUAGCAUAAUAUUUUCUAUGUUGUUUUAUAAAGUUUUCUCUCUUUUCCACUUACCAAUAUUUUGAUAACAUUUCAUCUUGUCAACGAAUGUUCAUCUCCAGCGCCUUUUUUCCCUUGCGGCUGUGGACACCUCGUGGACGGGUCUACUGUGUUUGGGUGGGGACAUGGAGGCCCAAGGCCCCACAGCAGGUGAUGGAAGUGCCAAGCCCAGUGACCAGCCUGGGGUCCAUUCUGUGCCAGCUCACCUGCAGGGAGCAUUGCUGCUGAGGUCACAGUUCCUGGAGCCAGACUGCUCCUGGCACCGCCAUGCACACUCACGGUCAGAUGUGUGACAAUGGGGGACAAUCACUUACCCUCUCUUGAAAAACAGGAGUCGGACUUCAGAGCGGUUAUAGCUUCUUCCAGUGCCAAAGCGGAGGCUUCCUGGACGCAGCCCGGGACGGAGCGGCCUGGCAGAUGGGGACGUGGCGGGCGUUAUGGGCUGAAUUGUGUCCCCCUCCCCAGAAAUUCACAUGUUGAGGUCCUAACCCCAGUGUCAGAAUGUGGCUGUAUCUGGAGACAGGGUCUUUAACGAGGUAAUUGAGUUAAAAUGAGUUCAUUUAACCCAAUGUGACUGGUGUCCUUACGAGAAGAGGGGAUCAGGACACAGACACACACAGAAGGAAAAGCACGUGAAGAUAUGGGGACAAGGUGGCCACCGACAGGCCAAGGAGAGAGGCCGCAGGAGAAACCGGCCCUGCGGACACCUUGAUCUUGGACUUUGAGCCUCUAGAAUUGUGAGAAAAUAAAUUUUGUUGUUUGAGCCACCCAGUCCGUGGUUCUUUGUCAUGGC